CCACAACAUUAAGAAACAUCUAAGCUCCUUCAUCGUAAAAAUGAUGGUAAUAUAUCUGAUUUUAGUUUUGAUGUGUGAUGCGAGCUUUGGAGAUUCAGUCCAUCCACUAAGCAAUGAAGUCUACUCUGAAGACGGACAAGCAGUGACUCUGAUGUGUAAUUACUCUACCAGCACCACAGCAACUCAUUAUCUCUUCUGGUACCGGCAGAGUCCCAAUGGAAACCCUGAAUAUCUCAUACACACUGACUCCUACCAAGGAACCAAGAGAACUGAGGGCUAUGAGAUACUGGUGGAUAAAGACACGAAACAAGUUCAGCUCAAUAUAUCGAAGCUUGAUGUGGCAGAAAGUGCUACAUACUACUGUGCCCUGAGUCCCACAGUGUUUUAG